UGUGUAGUUUCUCAUGGGAACACUAACAAUUUCAGGAUCACAAAAGCAAAGCCAGCAAAACUAUUCUGAGAGCAGAGCCCUGAGGAACCGUUACUGUUUGCUUCAACAAGGGGCAUGUGUCAUCCUUUCUCAUGUUCAGCAGCACAAAUCCAUGAAAUUAUAGCAUGUAUGGUCAUCCUUUGGCAGGGUAUGUAUGGCCCGGAGUGAGAAUGGCCAAAGAGUAUGGGUCAGAAUUAUGGCUCAGAUGCUGAGUGCUCUGCAGGAAAAUUUCCCUCCAGAUAUAGAAACAGAUGGAUUUUUUUGUUCUGAAAAGAUAUGCAAAAUAAGCAAGAAUAAAUAGAAGAGAAGCUGGAAGUUCUGGAUCUGAAUUUCCCCAGCAGCUGUGACCUAUUUGGACAGGAGCCCUGGUGCAGCCCCAUCUCUGUUUAAGAAGUGUUCUUUACCGGUGCUUCCUGCUGAUUGCACUACCUGCAGCUGGUACAUGUUAAAGAAACAGAAGCCCGUGUUUCCUCACCUUGCUCUUCCAGGAUCACAGAUGGGAUACACUGCUGAAGUACUGGUGGGGUCUCCAAGGUAGAACGAUCCUUCUGAGUGACUGGCAAAAGCUGAGACCAAAUUCACGACGUAUUUCCAAGAUGAACUUUCAAAGACACUUUUCUGGAUCUUGUCUAUGUCGGGACUUAAAAGUUACCCAACCCGGCUGACAUGAGUGGACAGAGCAGGACAUGGACUUACCCAGAAAUAGAUCUUUAGACAUUCUUCAGUAUAAUACUUUGGUCACUGAGCAUUCCUUACUAGUUAAAGAAGUACUUCCUUUCUAAGCCCCUUUAUGAGUUUCCAAAAAAAGAAAAAAAGAUCCUUUAGGCUGAUACUUCUGUAGCUUUUGGAAAGUUUGGUAAAAAUCCAUAUGGUUGGUUUUGAGCACGCUUAAAGAAUUGUUUCAGAUGUUUUACUUGUGCUUGGGUAACUGAAAACAGUUCAAACUUGGCAUGGAGUCUCCAGUGAGAAAUGUGGGCUUGGAUAAGUUGGAAAAAAAACUGGUUCAGAAAGAAAGGAGUUAUAAACAAGUGGAAAUAGUAUGCUUCAGUUACCCAGAUGUAUGCCAGGCAAGCAUAGACGUCUGGAUAUUCACAAGCUGAAAUAAAUGCAUCUGUAUUUAUUUAAA